UACGUAGGUGGCUAGCGUUGUCCGGAUUUACUGGGCGUAAAGAGCGCGCAGGCGGUCGUUUCAAGUCGAGUGUGAAAGCCCCCGGCUCAACUGGGGAGGGUCACUCGAUACUGAUCGACUCGAAGGCAGGAGAGGGAAGCGGAAUUCCCGGUGUAGUGGUGAAAUGCGUAGAUAUCGGGAGGAACACCAGUGGCGAAGGCGGCUUUCUGGCCUGCUCUUGACGCUGAGGCGCGAAAGCUAGGGUAGCAAACGGG
rnacentral:rRNA from 1 species